AUUUAAAAAAAUACUUCGUGCUUAAAAAUACUUACCUCCCAUAUUUGAUUUGACUAAGAGAAGUUUUCUAUUUUGUAAUAAUUAUUUUUAAACUGCCUAGUAGUUGGCUAGAUAAACGCAGUAAAUCCACUGAAUAUGUAUCAAUAUUUUCUAUACAGAACUUCAAGUAUAUGUAAAAUUUUGCAACUAUAUAUACAUACAAUAAAUCAAACACUUUCAUAUACACAGUUACAGAAUCAUUGCCGUCAUUCUCCAGAUCUUUGCAUGGACACCCAAACUUUUAUUAUGAAUCAGUACACGAGGGGAAGUCAUCAAUGUCUGUAUCCCACAGUGAUCAUGGACUUUUAAGAAACUCCAUGAACUACCUCCAGAAUAUGUAAAUAUAAUGUUUGUAGCUCAAUACAUAUGCUAUAAGUAAUGCACAAAUUAUUUUAACUCCCAUUCACAUACAAUUGAUUACAUUUACAAACCAUUACUUAACACUAUUAGAUAACAUCCAGCAAGAGUUAAUAUAAGUCAGACGAAUAACUCUAAACCAGUUAAUCACUGCCAAGCUGCGUGAAUUUGACUUACAAACCAGAGUGAAAAUAAAAAUUUCAAGAAUUAUGAAACUUGUUGGAGACAAUUUCGUCACCUUUGGGGGAGGUGCGGGCGGAUCGAAUGGCGGAGGUGGGGGUGGCGGAGGCGGAUUUGGGGGUGGGAAUGGGGGCGAUGGUGGAAGUCGCAAAUAAAAAUUCAUAACAAAUAUUACAAUCUUGAUGUCACAUAUAGUUGAAUAAAUAAACAUUGUUCUUACGACAUAAUUUUGUUUAUA